CAAUGUGCGUGGCAGAAAAGCUCUGCUUUUCAUCUUUGUGUGAGCUGUAGUGUGAAUAUUGUGACUGUCUAUGUCAAGUACAUUAUCUCCUGAGUGCUGAACGCACGUUAACCACAGAAGACCCUUAUUUAUGCCAUAGCAGGCCAUCUCUAAUGAGAAGAAGCUGGACAGAACGUGAUGUGAGUCUCUCUAGGGGCUGGUGCCCAGCGAACGUCAGCGGCUGGCUGGAGAUGCAGACAGCUCUCAGAGGCUUAUUCAGGGAAAGAAGAAGAAGCGGAAGAGAGAGAAGAUCCAGGAGGUCACGGCAGGGGAGAAACACGGCGACGCUCUGUCUGCAUUCAAAGUGAGAGCCCCGGCUGUGGGCCCCGUUGUGAAGAUAGAGGCCUGUUAAAUCAAGGCCCAUCCCACACUGAACUCUGCUGGGGGCCUCAGAGCAUUACGAGGUCCCUUAGCUGUGGCCCCUCAGCCAUGGCCCUUCACCGAGACCCCCCACACCAGAGACACUGAACCAUAACGACAGUCACAGCCACCUGCCCCCGUUCUGUGUAGCGCCCCCUCUCUGUCUACCAGUGCCACUGACCCCACAAAUGCUGCACUGUGUGUGUUACUCUCGUCUUUUUUGUUGAGGUUGCCUUGUACCCCAUCCAGAACUCUGUCCAACAGCCCCCCCCCCUCCCAUUCGAAUGCAUAUUCUGUGUGUGGGGGGGUGUCCCUUCCAGCCCCCAGGUCCUGCCGGGCUGGUCUCGUCAGGGAAAAUACACAAUGAUGCCAAGAAGCUACUUUAUUAAUCAGAUAUAUUUUGAAUGAUUUUAUAUUUUUGAUUUUAUGUAUAUUUUGUGGUUGUUUUUUAUUUUUCUAUAUAAAUAUAUGACACAGUAUGAGCUGUGGAGAGGGGCAUGGGUUCGAGGCCCCUUUUGAUAACUGUAUAACAGACAGCCACCUCUCAGUAUCUGUCAGCUGAGACGUGAUGGUCGCGGCUUUCAGGAUGUGAUGAUGAUCUUUUUAUACUUUUACAAGCAAGAUUUGGACAAACCUGUUAGACUUGGUGCUGAAGAUGCCUCUGCUCUCUUGUUCUAAAUGGACGUUUGCAAAUGUAUUUCUUCUUAAAUAUAUUCAUGCCAUCAGCCAGCCUUUGUUCAGUUUCAUAUUCAUUGCAGCCUAUAGUCUGGACUUAUGCCACUUUGAUGCCACACAGGAGUUUUUAUAAAAUUUUAAAGAAGGUUAAAAUAUUUUCAACUUUUUCAUCACUGUCACCUUGAAUCAAUACUUAACCGCAGGUUAAAUGUGUUUUACAGCAACGACACACUUGGUAAUAUGAGUUGGAAAAUAAACACCUUGAAAACGAAA